rnacentral:sRNA from 2 species
GCAGACAUUACGCGAAUACGCAAUCCGAGGUUAAAAGAGGUGGGUGAAGGAUGGCUACUGGCACUAGCUGCUCAUGCUCCUGGCCUACCAGAAUAGGUAACGUGACUGGGUAGUUCACGACUAAGGCUCCAAAGCAGUUUCGAAAACAGUGCGACGCAGCAAAUGUGCGCAGAUCCACUGAUGAGCUGGCUAUCUGAGGUUAGAGGACAAGCAACGCUGACCGAUCAUGCCUUCGGUCACCUUCAUAGCUCCCACUGAUGUGAGACCAGCCCGCUUGGCGGUUCAUUCCGCAUUCUCAUCGUCGCCAGACCCAAC